AUGAGCACGAUACUCAGCGCCAUUUCUUUUGUGCUGAUGUUCUUGGCAGCUUGGCCACAAGCAUCGGCCGCAGUGUCUGGACCCGCCGGAGGGAUCCUGCAGAUCCCAUCUAAUCGCUCCUUGGCUCACUGCAUCACAAGGUGCGGGGACAUUGACUUCUCCUAUCCCUUUGGUAUAGGGUCCGGCUGCUUUCGUCAAGGCUUCGAUCUCACCUGCAACCACUCAACCAAGCAUCCCAAGCUCUUUUUAGGCAGAAGCACUGUCCAGGUCACUAACAUCGACUCCAGCUAUGGCAUAGUUUUGACCCCUAUAAUCUUCAAGCUUGCAACAAGGCCAGGUACAAAUACCUACAACAUGACAUGGGAGGCCCCUGCUAAAGGUAUUACUCUCGCUAGUUAUAAUACUUUGUUCAUAGCUGGUUGUGAUUUCGACGUCACCUUGUUCAAGUAUGGUACGGGAGACAUGGUUGGUUCUUGUAUGAGUAGAUGUGCCGGCAAGAAGGCACCAACUGGAGGGCAUUGUAAUGGAAUAGGCUGCUGCCUCAUCCAGUUACCGAGGGACCUGGCAGCCUUUCGGGCAAAACUUGUCAGCACUAAUACUACUGCAACACAAUCAGAUUGGUUGCACCCUGGCAUCAUGGCUUUAGUUUCAAGUGAUCCAGAUUAUUACAGUUAUAAUACAUCUGAUCUUUUCUCUAGUUGGACAAAUGAUAGCAUGAUUGAUGGCGCAGUUCUUAGAGUUGCCAUCAUGGACCAACAAAGCUGUGAAGGUGCACAACUGAAGAACGAAAGCUAUGCAUGCAGCAACGGUAGCAGUUGUCAGAAUUCCUCAUCCGGUGGUUACCAAUGUGUCUGCUCUAGUUAUGGACAAGGCAACCCUUACAUUUUAGAUGGAUGCAUGCAAGAUUAUAACCCAAAGCCCAAAGAACACUGUCCUGCAUCAUGUGGACCCAUUACUAUUCCCUUCCCCUUUGGGCUUGAAGAAGGAUGUUGUGCAAACGAAAAAUUUCAUCUUAAUUGUACCUCUGGCAAUCUCACAGUCUCUGUCUCAAAAGAUGCACAAUAUCAGGUGACCGGUAUCUCCGUGGAAGAUGGGACUCUGACUGUUAGCAAUAUGGUGAACGGAAGUAAUGAAAAAGAGGCAAUAUUAAUCCAGACUGAAGAUGUAUAUGGAGUGGACUCACCUAUGGAAGAUCAAUUUGAUUUCUCUGUGGAAUACAACAUUGUUAUAAAGUGGGCGGUUGCCAAUUUAACAUGUGAAACAGCUAUGCAAAAGGAUACUGAGUAUGCAUGUCGCAGUUCCCAGAGCUAUUGCCUAAACGUCACCCACGGAGAAAUAUUUAUGGGAUAUCGUUGUAAAUGUUCGUCAGGCUUUCAAGGAAAUCCGUACGUCAAUGCUGGCUGCACAGAUAUUGAUGAAUGCACACUACAAAAUUACUGCAAUGGGACAUGUCAAAAUUCUUUUGGAAACUUCACAUGCUCAAGUUGCCCACAUAGACAAGAGUUUGAUCCGAUAAAAAGGCAGUGUGUUACAUCAGCGAAGCAACACAAUAUUAUUUUGGGUAUUGCAACUGGAACUGGAUGUGGCCUUGGAUCCAUAAUUAUUGCAGUCUGUGUAGUUGUAUUUGCCAACAAGUGGAAGAAAGGCAUCCAGAAGAGAAUCCGACAAGCACACUUCAAGAAAAAUCAAGGCCUACUCUUGCAGCAGUUGAUAUCAGAUGAAAGCGCCACAAACAAAACAACGAUAUUCUCCUUAGAGGAACUAGAGAAGGCAACCAACAACUUUGAGGCCACUCGUGUUCUUGGUCGUGGAGGACACGGUACAGUUUAUAAAGGGAUUCUAUCUGACCAACGGGUGGUGGCUAUUAAAAAAUCCAAAAUUGUGGAGCAGACUGAGAUAGACCAGUUUAUCAAUGAGGUUGCUAUCUUAUCUCAAAUCAUUCACCGCAAUGUGGUAAAGCUAUUUGGUUGUUGCCUCGAAUCUGAGGUGCCUUUGCUGGUGUACGAGUUUAUAUCUAAUGGUACAUUGCAUGACCUUCUUCACAUUGAUGUUACUGCCAAAUGUGUGCUGUCAUGGGAUGAUCGCAUUAGGAUUGCUGUAGAAGCAGCAGGGGCACUUGCUUAUCUACACUCGGCUGCUGCAAUACCGAUUUUCCAUAGAGACGUAAAAUCGUCUAACAUACUAAUGGAUAGCAGCUUCGCUACGAAGGUUUCUGACUUUGGUGCUUCAAGGUCUCUUUCCCUCGAUGAGACUCAUGUGGUGACUAUUGUCCAAGGAACAUUUGGUUACCUAGAUCCAGAGUAUUACCAUACCGGGCAGCCAACUGAAAAGAGUGAUGUCUAUAGUUUUGGAGUAAUACUUGUGGAACUUUUGACAAGAAGAAAGCAAAUUUUUAUCAAUGAUCUUGGUGGAAAACAAAACUUGUCCCAUUAUUUCGUGGAAGGAUUGCAACAGGGAGCAAUCAUGGAAAUAAUGGAUCCUCAGGUUGUCAACGAGGCAAACCCGGAAGAGAUUGAUGAUAUUGGCUCACUUGCGGAAGCAUGCCUGAGACUCAAAGGAAGAGAUAGACCUACUAUGAAAGAAGUAGAUAUGAGGUUGCAAUUCCUGAGAACUAAGAGGCCAAGAAAAUGCGAGAUUCUCCCAGCUAGUGAUGAGGAGAUUGAGCCUUUUUUAUGCCCAAAGGUUGGUAAUUCUGAUGCACCAAUGAAUUCUAUCAAUGCUGGUAAUUCAACAUCAAAAGGCACCUCCAGUUGCUACAGUCUCGAGCAAGAACUCUCAUCGUCGGUCACUUGA
rnacentral:rRNA from 1 species